rnacentral:rRNA from 1 species
AACGAACGCUGGCGGCAGGCCUAACACAUGCAAGUCGAACGCCGUAGCAAUACGGAGUGGCAGACGGGUGAGUAACACGUGGGAACGUACCCUUCGGUUCGGAAUAACUCAGGGAAACUUGAGCUAAUACCGGAUACGUCCGUAAGGAGAAAGAUUUAUCGCCGAGGGAUCGGCCCGCGUCUGAUUAGCUUGUUGGUGAGGUAACGGCUCACCAAGGCGACGAUCAGUAGCUGGUCUGAGAGGAUGAUCAGCCACAUUGGGACUGAGACACGGCCAAACUCCUACGGGAGGCAGCAGUGGGGAAGUAUUGGACAAUGGGCGGCAAGCCUGAUCCAGCCAUGCCGCGUGAGUGAUGAAGGCCCUA